rnacentral:rRNA from 1 species
GAGUUUGAUCAUGGCUCAGAUUGAACGCUGGCGGCAGGCCUAACACAUGCAAGUCGAGCGGAUGACGGGAGCUUGCUCCUUGAUUCAGCGGCGGACGGGUGAGUAAUGCCUAGGAAUCUGCCUGGUAGUGGGGGACAACGUUUCGAAAGGAACGAUAAUACCGCAUACGUCCUACGGGAGAAAGCAGGGGACCUUCGGGCCUUGCGCUAUCAGAUGAGCCUAGGUCGGAUUAGCUAGUUGGUGGGGUAAUGGCUCACCAAGGCGACGAUCCGUAACUGGUCUGAGAGGAUGAUCAGUCACACUGGAACUGAGACACGGUCCAGACUCCUACGGGAGGCAGCAGUGGGGAAUAUUGGACAAUGGGCGAAAGCCUGAUCCAGCCAUGCCGCGUGUGUGAAGAAG